rnacentral:rRNA from 1 species
GACGAACGCUGGCGGCGUGCCUAAUACAUGCAAGUCGAACGCUGAAGGAGGAGCUUGCUCUUCUGGAUGAGUUGCGAACGGGUGAGUAACGCGUAGGUAACCUGCCUGGUAGCGGGGGAUAACUAUUGGAAACGAUAGCUAAUACCGCAUAACAGUAGAUGUUGCAUGACAUUUGCUUAAAAGGUGCAAUUGCACCACUACCAGAUGGACCUGCGUUGUAUUAGCUAGUUGGUGGGGUAACGGCUCACCAAGGCGACGAUACAUAGCCGACCUGAGAGGGUGAUCGGCCACACUGGGACUGAGACACGGCCCAGACUCCUACGGGAGGCAGCAGUAGGGAAUCUUCGGCAAUGGACGGAAGUCUGACCGAGCAACGCCGCGUGAGUGAAGAAGGGUUUCGGAUCGUAAAGCUCUGUUGUAAGAGAAGAACGAGUGUGAGAGUGGAAAGUUCACACUGUGACGGUAUCUUACCAGAAAGAGACGGCUAACUACGUG